rnacentral:piRNA from 1 species
UUUUUAAUAUUUGUUAGGAAA